UGGUUUAUGCUGAGUUAUGAUUACUGACCAUGAUGAAGUGAAGCUCAGUAUAAGUACUCUGAAGUCU
ensembl:snoRNA small nucleolar RNA, C/D box 64